AGGAAGCACUGACCAAAUAAGGAAAUAGAUUAAACCGGUACACGGCGUAUGGGAGGCAGGAGAUCGUGACCGUUAUGUUGAAUUAUAAUGUGUUGGAUUAUAGAAAUAAAUAAAGUGGUACUGAUGUGUGUGUGUGUGUGUGUGUGUGUGUGUGUGUUUUAGGAUGAGCUGGAGUGGGGCAAAGAGAACUGCAUUCAGAUCAAACGGUGGCUGAGUCGUUUGAGGAUCUGAAGAAUUGAGUGUCACAAUUCAACAUGCACAUCAGCGAAACUUCUCCCUCUGACUACACCGGCGCGCGCACACAGAAAUUCAUAGUGCAGGUGGCGAUUGCAGGCGCAUUUUAUCCGAACUGCUUCCUCCAGGGAACUGUGGACGAGGAGCUCGCCUCCAAGGAGCUCUAUGGAAAUGACCCCAGGACCACCAUAGUGGUAUUCAGUCAGCUUCCAUUUAACUAGGGGAUUAAUAUUAUUAUUAAUAAUAUUUCUCUCUCUCCCUCCCUCUCUCUCUCUCAGGUGUGUAAUCUCCCUCCAUUUGCAUUCCUCUACUAUAAACAGCUCCAGUCUCUCUUCAGACACUGUGGUUAAGUCAAAUCCAUCUCCUUUGACAGCUCCAGGGCCUAUGUAGAGUUCUACCGCUCGUCAAUGAGAGGUUCUGGCGUUCUCCCAGAGGUCUCUCUGUCUCUCCUCCUCGCGCAGCAGAGACUUCCUCUCCAUCUCAACGUUUAACCUGCUGGAGAGGUGGAGACUUGGGCAGGGGGGUAGUGUAUCUCACACCUCAGAUAUACACGGUACACACACACACACACACACACACACACACACACACUGCAGCGAGCAUCAUCAGAUGAGUCAUAGUUACAUUUUAAGUGAGAGUAGUCAUGUGACCACAUCCCCUAGACAGUGUGAUGUUUAGAUGAUGUUCUGUACAUUAGUGCUGUUCUGUUACAGGUCUCUCUCUCUGUGUCUCUCUCACUCACUGUGUGUGUGUCUCUCUCUCAGGGUGAAUGUGGAUAUUCAGAAUCAGUCAGUGAGCCCUGUCGGGGUUCUGAGCAGCUCCAUUGAGUUGGAGAAUCUUCCGUCUAACCCUGUCUUUAUCGUCAAUAUCACCGAGGUGUC